AUUGAACGCUGGCGGCAGGCCUAACACAUGCAAGUCGGGCGAGAGGCGGACGGGUGAGUAAUGUCUGGGGAUCUGCCUGAUGGAGGGGGAUAACUACUGGAAACGGUAGCUAAUACCGCAUACCAUCAGAUGAACCCAUAUGGGAUUAGCUAGUAGGUGGGGUAACGGCUCACCUAGGCGACGAUCCCUAGCUGGUCUGAGAGGAUGUCCGGCACCAUUGGAACUGGGCAACGGUCCAGACUCCUACGGGAGGCAGAGGUGGGGAUUAUUGCCAAAUGGGGGCAGGCUUGAUGCAGCCAUGCCGGGUGUAUGAAGAAGGCCUUCGGGUUGUAAAGUCCUUUCAGCGGGGAGGCGUUCCCACCGGAAGAAGCACCGGCUAACUCCGUGCAAGCAGCCGGGUAAUUC
rnacentral:rRNA from 1 species